rnacentral:misc_RNA from 1 species
GAUGAAGAACGCAGCGAAAUGCGAUAAGUAAUGUGAAUUGCAGAAUUCAGUGAAUCAUCGAAUCUUUGAACGCACAUUGCGCCCCCUGGUAUUCCGGGGGGCAUGCCUGUCCGAGCGUCAUUACAACCCUCAAGCUCAGCUUGGUGUUGGGCCCCGCCGCCCCGGCGGGCCCUAAAGUCAGUGGCGGUGCCGUCCGGCUCCGAGCGUAGUAAUUCUUCUCGCUCUGGAGGUCCGGUCGUGUGCUCGCCAGCAACCCCCAAUUUUUUUCAGGUUGACCUCGGAUCAGGUAGGGAUACCCGCUGAACUUAAGCAUAUCAAUAAGCGGAGUA